rnacentral:rRNA from 1 species
GAUGAACGCUAGCGAUAGGCUUAACACAUGCAAGUCGAGGGGCAGCACAUGAGUAGUAAUACGAUGGUGGCGACCGGCGCACGGGUGAGUAACACGUAUGCAACCUACCCAUGACAGUGGAAUAACCCGUCGAAAGGCGGACUAAUACCGCAUAAUAACAGUUUUUCUGCAUGGAAGAAUGUUCAAAGAUUUAUCGGUCAUGGAUGGGCAUGCGUUCCAUUAGGUAGUUGGCGGGGCAACGGCCCACCAAGCCAUCGAUGGAUAGGGGUUCUGAGAGGAAGGUCCCCCACACUGGUACUGAGACACGGACCAGACUCCUACGGGAGGCAGCAGUGGGGAAUAUUGGUCAAUGGGGGGAACCCUGAACCAGCAACGCCGCGUGAAGGAGAAGGCUUUCGGGUUGUAAACUUCUUUGACAGGGGACGAAAGAAAUGACGGUACCCUGAAAACAAGCCAACGGCUAACUACGUGCCAGCAGCCGCGGUAAGCAUACUCGUA